rnacentral:rRNA from 1 species
UACGGAGGGUGCGAGCGUUGUCCGGAAUCACUGGGCGUAAAGGGCGCGUAGGUGGCGCGGGCAGUCAACGGUGAAAGUUCGGGGCUCAACCCCGAAUCGGCCGUCGAUACUCCCGGGCUUGAGCACUGUAGAGGCUAAUGGAAUUCCGGGUGUAGCGGUGGAAUGCGUAGAGAUCCGGAAGAACACCGGUGGCGAAAGCGGCUCACUGGACCAUAACUGACGCUGAGGCGCGAAAGCUAGGGGAGCAAACAGG